GUGCGGGCACAAAAAACAACGUUUUUUGAACGUUGGCUCUGCCAGCGGCCCCAUAGGGGCGAAUAAAUCACUUUUUGUGAUUUAUGAGUAAUCAUUUACGAC
rnacentral:ncRNA from 19 species